UCUUUUUUCAUAAGAAAAACUCGGAUACUUUUUUGCGCCGCGACACCUAUAUAUAUUUUUAAAGAGUAUAAUAGAUGAAUCUCAAAGAUAACUUCUGCAAAAGUUUUUUUAGGAUUUUAUAGCACAACAGCAUGUUCAUUUUGUGAAGAAAUAUUUUGGGCUGUAUUAGUAAAAUAUAACUGGGCUGUUGGGUGCAGCUCACAAAGCCGACAAUGCAAUGAGCAGCGAAGAAAUUUUGGGCACCCAAGGGUAAAAGAAGAUCGAUCAUGCUUUUGCCUCAUGAAUUGAUUAUACAAAUCUUAGUGAAGUUGCCGGUAAAGUCUCUUCUACGUUCCAAGUCUGAUUAAUUCUUUUGAUAGAUUUUUAAAGAUUACCCCUGCAGUUUUGGGGCUAAUUGACUAUUAGCCAAUUACUUUUACUCUAAUUAUAAAUAAAAUAGUAAUUGAAAUAUUAUAACUUUCAUUUUAAUUAAACAAACAAAAAUAUUAAUCAUUGUUCUUAUUUCAAACGUAAAUUGGAAGAUGACAUAGAAUUGGAAAAGUAGAUAAAAUCAACCCUUUACUGGUGAUAUUCUCUCCACUACAUUCUAUGUUUCCUCACUACCAAAGAGACCAAUGGAACAACCUUACUCAUCUUUGUCAAUUUUGUGACAAUAUCACUUUUACUAACCUUUUUGUUGAUAGCCUUAAUUCUAGUCACAGAUUUAAUAAGUUUGUCAACUCCGUUUUGGCGUUUAUUUGGACUCACAUUCAAUCAACCUCAAGUUUAUUAUGGUAGACUUCAUUUGACUUUCCAAAAAUUGUCAAAUGGCUCAAUAUUGUUGUUCAAUGUCAAAUGAUAGCCGUUGACACGGAAAAACAAUAUUGAGUCAUUUGACCAUUUUUGGAAAGCCUAGUCGAAAAACAAAAUAAAGGCUACUAUAAGAAACUUCGAGAGUUAACAAGUAUUGAAUGUGAGUCCGCAUCAUCUCUCAAGGCCAAAACAUAGUUGACAGACUUAUUAAAUCUACGACUAGAAUUAAGGCUAUAAACGACAAUGUUAGGGAAGGUGAUACUGUCACAAAAUAUCUAAAGAUGAGUCCAUCUCUUGCUCAAUACGGCCUCUAUGGUGGUCAGGAAAGAUAGAAUGCAGAGGAGAAUUUUUUAGGGAAAAUUUUUAUCUACUUUUGCAAUUUUACGUUGUCUUCCCAUUUACUCUUGUUUCCGAAGGGAAUUAGAACAAUGAUUAGGGUUUUUGUUUGUUUAAUUAGAAUAAAAUUUUGUAACUCUAAUCUUUCACUUAUUAUUUUAUUUAUAAGAGCAAAAAUAAUUGGCUAAGAGUUGAUUAACUCUACAACUCAACUCAUGAAGAAUCUCUAUCCAUAGAUUUUGAAGCAUCACUUGACGAUGACAAUGCUUCUUUUUCACUCAACCUUCCAGAGGAUUUUACAGGCUUUCAAAUUAGAGGGUAGUGUAGAGGUUUCAUACUUUUCUACAGUUCCUUAAACAUCUACCGAAUCCAUCGAUUGGAGAUUAUAAACAAAUACUUUAUCUCCUUUUGGUUCCAAUUUAGACGUUGGAUAUUUCUAUGGUUUUGGGUAUGAUGAUUCAACCCAUGAUUAUUUGGUUGUUUCAAUGUCUCGCCUGGAGUUCUUCUCAUUGAAAUCUAAUAUAUGAAAAGAAGUUGGGGUCCUUACUUCCCUUAUACCUUCUAGGAGUAUGAGCUCAAAGGUGGUUUGCUCUAUAAGGGAGCUAUUCAUUGGUUGGCUUAUCGUUAUGAUUUACAAAGUGAUGUUAUUGUUGCAUUUAAUUUAAUGGAAAUGAAACUUUUAUAUAUGAUUUUGCAUUGUUAUGGUAAUCCUUUGGAUAGUGGUUUGUGGAUAUAUGGAGAAUUUCUCAGCGUAUACACUUUGAGUUAUAGUAAUGAUCCAGUUGAAUUAUGGGCGAUGAAAGAACACAAAAUGGUGCAGAUGGAUUGGUGAAGUACGAUAAAAGUGGACAGUGUCUGGAGCAACAUUCUUAUCCAAAUUACGACCUUAGAUGUGAAUUGACUAUCUUUAGUGAAGGCAUCCCCAAAGUUGCAAAAAUGGAACAUGGCCAUGAGUUCCUUCUUCUUUCUUUUUGCUUUUGAACUCUUCAUUCUCAAAUUCUGAUUUUGUAGGAUAAAAGGAUAGAAAGUGCAUUCAAACAAGUUUUUAUGUCAUUAACUAGAAAUGGCUAGUUACCACAAUGCCCUCCAACUAAGUAGUAUUCACAAGGUUGCCAUUUAGUUACUUCCUAACCAAAACCGUUUGAUUCCAACUAAUUAACUUAGUCCCUCUUAACAUAAAUAAACAUGCGUUCUUCUAAAUCAUAUGUUUGAAUGGUUAAUUAUUUGUUUAUUGGUAACAUUGUCAGCUUUGUGUGAUUCACUGUUAUUUAUGUAUGAAGUUGGAUUUAUUCUAAUAUAUGUUCUGAUUACUGUUUGAAAUUGUCUUAUAAGGAUGAGUUUAUGCAUGUUGACCAAGAUCACAACUAUAUGACUUUGACUCAGCAAUUUAUUAAAAAUUUGAGCAUAACUGCAUGUGUAUUUGAAUGAUAUUGAAGAUUUUGUUCGCUAAUUUCGGUGGACUAUAAUAAU